AAAUGCUUAUUCAUGAUUCACGCCGUAUCUCCAUGAAAUUUUGUUUUGAAUGUAGAAAUCUAAUUUAUAGAAGCUUAGGAUGAUGUGUGAAAAAACGGGGAAUUUUACAACUAAUAACGCGUUUUAAAUUAAAUGGUCAUCAAAAACACCGCUCGGACAAAAUUGAAAUUUAUUUGGAUGAGAAUACGGAUUUAAUUAGGGGAAAAGCACAAUACAAGCAGACGUUGAAAAUCAUACAGAAAAUAGUUUGUUUGUAUAAAAUGGAAAAAAAGUGGUUAUUUAGCCGAAUAACUUUUCCUGUGUUCCAUGUGUAAACAGUCUCUGAAAUUCAUUGGUCUGUACAGAGUAAAUUCGAUAUAGUUUUGGAAAUAUUUUAAAAUACAGUGCCAGCUUUGUAAUCGUAUAAACCAGGUCUACUCAGGACGGACAGCAACAUCGGAAUGAAGUAUUAUAAAGUUAACGAAGGCUGAGAAAUAUAUGGGCACUUGAUUCGGCAGAAAUAAAAUAACAAACUUCAGGUUCCGUUAUGUUAAGUACAGUCUGAAUAAAGCCAGCCCCGAGUAUCCAUUUCCGUUUACAAACGCAAGUUGAUAGUUGGGGCUGGCUGUAGUCAGACCGGUUCCGUGUUCCCUGAUUCCGUUAUAAUUUUUUUCUUGAAAUUUACAUGCAAACGACUGACUUUUUAUUCAAACGGCAAGAGACUGUAAAAAAGCUAGAUCUUGAAAUCAUUUAGAUUUUAUGUUCGUGUUAAUUUACGCUUGCAUGGGUAUUCGGUGUUUUUUUAGUUUUGAGUUGGAAAUAAUGUACAUGUACGAGCUGGGAGAAAAAAAGACUGAAAGAAAAUUAACAAAGUUACCUUUUAGGGCUCUAAGGGCAAUAUUGCUCGCAUACUAGACGUCGGAAAAGGCCCGGAAAGUUUCUUUCUUAAAAUUAGUUUUUAGAACAAGUAUAUAAGUAUAUAUAUAUAAAAAAAGAAGAUGUGGGAUGAUUGCCAAUGAGACAAAUGUCCACAAGAGACCAAAAUGACACAGACAUUAACAACUAUAGGUCACCAUACGGCCUUCAACAAUGAGCAAAGCCCAUACCGCAUAGUCAGCUAUAAAAGGACCCGAUAAGACAAUUUUAAACAAUUCAAACGAAAAAACAACCGGCCUUAUUAAUAUAUAUUAAAAAAAAGGACGAAAAACAAAUAUGUAACACAUAAACAAACGACAACCACUGAAUUACAGGAUCCUGACUUGGGACAGGCACAUACAUAAAUAAUGUGUAAAGCGUCAGUUAAAAUUUUCCCGACCAUCAUCGCGGAUGCCCUGCCUCUAUUGCAAAACCUACCUACAUGUAUUGUAUUUAUUGUUAACUUGUUCUCGUCCUGAACAUGCAUGAAAUAUUUUCCACUGGACGUUAACCAACCAAUAAUCAAAGUAAUCAAUCCUACAAUUUACACCCGUAACUUGGAACUUUAGUUGUUAAAAUUUAAAUCAUUGCCUCUAAUUUUUUCAAAAAUACGACAAAUUUUAAACGCAGACCGCGAGGAAGACCAAAAUUGAACAGUUACUCAAAACUAAAUAUAUAUGUUACCGCUUGCUCAUUAUGGAAGUGGGGUAACAUGAUACUUUAUUUAUAAUUCAGUCCCUCCCCGUAAUCGAUCUCUCUUAACUACUUAAUGUAGUAAGCGGAAUAUAACGACUGAAUUAUUCGGGUUAAUAGUUUGGAAGGUUUGUCCGACUUGCUGAGCAAACAAGUAACACAUUUACACCACGCAGAGUACACUAUACUACAUGUAUUGUAUGUACCAAGUCAAGAAUAUGACAGCUGUUUAUCAUUCUUUUGAUGUUUUUCAGCUUUUGAUUUCGUCAUUUGAUAAGGGAUUUUUUCGUUUUGAAUUUUUCUUGGAGUUUUGUUAUUUUAUUUUUUG
rnacentral:lncRNA from 1 species